AACAUGAGCAAAAGAUACAAAGCAACAUUUCACUGGAGAAGAUAUACAGAUUGCAAAUAAGCACAUGAAAAGAUGUUUGAUACCAUUAGGGAAACGCUUCUUUAAACCAGGAGAUAUCACCACGUGUUAGAAUCAACAAAAUAAGGCCAGGCAUGGUGGCUCACACCUGUAAUCCCAACACUUUGGGAGGCUGGGGCAGGCAGAUCACAUGAGAUCAGGAAUUCAAGACCAACCUGGCCAACAUGGCAAAACCCUGUCUCUGCUGAAAACACAAAAAUUAGCCAGGUGUGGUGGCACACGCCUGUAGUCCUAGCACCUUGGGAGGCUGAGGCAAGAUAAUUGCUUAAACCCAGGAGACGGAGGUUGCAGUAAGCUGAGAUCAUGCCACUGCGCUCCAGCCUGGGCGACAGAGCAAGAUUAUGUCUCAAAAAAAAAAAAAAAAAAAAGAAUCACCAAAAUAAAAAAUAGUAACAAUACUAUUGUCAAGGAUGCAAAGGAACUGUACCACUCAAUCACUGCUGUGAGAAUUUAAAGUGGUGCAGCCACUCUGGGAAACAGCUUGGCUGUUUUUUUUUAUGACUGAAUGUGCAACUACUAUAUGAUGCAGUAAUUUCAUUUUUGCACAUUUAUCCCGGAGAAAUGAAAACAUAUAUUCACACAAAACCUGUAUAUGAAUGCUAAUAAAAGUCAAUUGGCCAGGUGUGGUGGCUCAUGCCUGUAAUCCCAGCACUUUGGGAGGCUGAGGCAGUGGAUCACCUGAGGUCAGGAGUUUGAGACCAGCCUGGCCAACGUGGUGAAAACUCGUCUCUACUAAAAAUACAGCAAUUAGCUGGGUGUAAUAGUAGCCACCUGUAAUCCCAGCUACUGGGGAGGCUGAAGCAGAAGAACCUCUUGAACCCGGGAGGCAGAGGUUGCAGUGAGCUGAGAUCGUACCACUGCACUCCAGCCUGGGCGAUAGAGUGAGACUCUGUCUCAAAAAAUAAAAUAAAAUAAAUAAAAAGAUUAGAUAAUCUGCAAAGUUCCUGUGAGCGCUGUCAUUUUGUCACUCUGGUUUUUCAGAUUCUUCCCCUGGAGGCUGGAGUUUCCAGGAUGUCAAAAUUACCUCUGCUUGGGUGAGCUAUUUCAAGCAGCUGGGAUACCUGUGUCACUCCUGCUGUCUGCCAGUGACUGCCCAGGUGUCUGCUGGUUCCUCCCCAGGAGUAGGGAGGAACCAGGUGGGCUGGCUGGGAUGGGUGGAUAUUUAAAGACCAGGCCUUGGACGCUGCAGCACUUCUAUCUCUGCUUGAUGCCUGCUGCCACGUGGCUGGUCCUCCUCCUCCUGCUGUGGCUGAGCCUUGGGGUGAAGACAGGCUGGAGUGCAGUGGCGUGAUCUCAGCUCACUGCGACCUCUGCCUCCUGGGUUCAAGAGAUUCUCGUGCCUCAGCCUCCUGAGUAGCUGGGACUACAGGUGCAUGCCACCACACCCAGCUAAUUUUUGUAUUUUUAGUAGAGACGGGUUUCACUAUGCUGGCCAGGAUGGUCUCAAACUCCUGAACUCGUCAUCCACCCAUCUCAGUGUUCCCAAGUGCCGUGAUUACAGGUGUGAGCCACCCCACCCAGCCAACACUUGCUGUUUUAUUUUUUAUCUUAGCCGUCCUACUGGAUGUGGGGUGGUAUCUCAUUGUGGUUUGGAUUUGCAUUUCCUUAUGAUUAAUGAUGUUGAGUAUCUUUCAUGCUCACUGGCCACUUGUGUAUCUUCUUUGGAGAAAUGUCUAUUUAAAUCCUUUGUCCAGUUUUAAAUUUGAUUGACUUAUUUUUAUUUAUUUAUUUAUUUUGGAGGCAGAGUCUUGCUCUGUUGCCCAGGCUGGAGUGCAGUUGUGCAAUCUUGGCUCACUGCAACCUCCACCUCCUGGGUUCAAGCAAUUCUCCUGCCUCAGCCUCCUGAGUAGCUGGGACUAUAGGUGCAUGCUACCAAGCCCAGCUAAUUUUUGUGUUUUUAGUAGAGACGGGUUUCACCAUGUUGGCCAGGCUGGUGUUGAACUCCUGGCCUCAAGUGAUCUGCCUGCCUUGGUCUCCCAAAGUGCUGGGAUUACAGGCAUGAGCCACCGCACCCAGCCAGUUUCAGCUCUUACAUUUAGGUCUAUGGUCCAUUUUGAGUUAAUAUUUGUAUAUGGUUUGAGGUAGGAG
rnacentral:lncRNA from 1 species